UUGAUAAGAGCAAACCCACUGAAAGGUGGGGACGCAAAGCUGAGGGUCUAAGGCGUUAGCUAUGACAGUCUGGUUGCCGG
rnacentral:ncRNA from 1 species